GACGAACGCUGGCGGCGUGCUUAACACAUGCCAGUCGAACGGUGACGCCAGUGCUUGCACCCGUGGAUCAGUUGCGAACGGGUGAGUAACACGUGAGUAACCUACCCAUCCCUCUGGGAUAAGCACUGGACACGUUGUCUAAUACUGGCUACGACCAACCCUUUCUUGGGGGGUUCGCGUUAAGAUUUCUCGGUGGUGGAUGGACUCGCGGCCUAUCAGCUUGUUGGCGGGGUAAUUGCCCACCAAGGCGACGACGGGUAGCCGGCCUGAGGGGGUGACCGGCCACACUGGGCCUGAGACACGGCACAGACUCGUACGGGAGGGAGCGGAGGAGUAUGGUGCACUAUGGGCGAAAGCAAGAUGCAGCGCAGCCGCGUGGGGGAUGAGGGCCAUGGGGUUGGAUACCAAUUUCAGCAGGGAAGAAGCGAAAGUGACGGUACCUGCAGAAGAAGCACCGGCUAACUACGUG
rnacentral:rRNA from 1 species